UACAGAGGGGGCAAGCGUUGUUCGGAAUUACUGGGCGUAAAGGGCGCGUAGGCGGCCCGCUAAGUCGAACGUGAAAUCCCCGAGCUCAACUCGGGAACUGCGUCCGAUACUGGUGGGCUAGAAUCCGGGAGAGGGAUGCGGAAUUCCAGGUGUAGCGGUGAAAUGCGUAGAUAUCUGGAGGAACACCGGUGGCGAAGGCGGCAUCCUGGACCGGCAUUGACGCUGAGGCGCGAAAGCUAGGGGAGCAAACGGG
rnacentral:rRNA from 1 species